UGCGUAGGUGGUUUCUUAAGUCAGAGGUGAAAGGCUACGGCUCAACCGUAGUAAGCCUUUGAAACUGGGAAACUUGAGUGCAGGAGAGGAGAGUGGAAUUCCUAGUGUAGCGGUGAGAUGCGUAGAUAUUCGGAAGAACACCAGUGGCGAAGGCGGCUCACUGGCUCGAUACUGACGCUGAGGUGCGAAAGUGUGGGGAGCAAACA
rnacentral:rRNA from 1 species